GCGCCGUUUGCACUGCCACAUCCGCGUUCCAGGGGAACAUUUUGGGGCAACCGCAAAAAUACAACGUUUCCAGCCGCUUACAGAUGUUCCAUGGGGGAUUUUGCGUGCUAUUNNNNNNNNNACACCUCCCUAAAAACGGCCGGAACAGCACCGUUUCAAGGCGGUCCUUUGUUGCGUGAUUACGACUGUUGGGCAAUGGUCAUCGAAGCGACGGAGGGGGGCAUCCCGAGGUCGUCCCGUUUGGGAGUUUCGCUUAAGUCGCUCGCGUUCAGCG
rnacentral:misc_RNA from 1 species